CACAUCUCGGUACGUUUAUCAGGUAGAUUCAUUUUCAUAUAGAUUUUCUUUAUAUCGCGGUCAACCGAUUAUCUACGAAAAGAUCAAGUAAAAUUUGUUUUUGGUUUUGUUAAGUCGUUAUAAAAUCGUUUAACGGUCUAAUUUACGAAAUGUUACCCGUUUAUCUCGUACACCACCAACAAACAAAUAGUCAGUGUUAACUACCAGAAAUCGCG